AGCGAACGCUGGCGGCAGGCCUAACACAUGCAAGUCGAACGGAUCCUUCGGGAUUAGUGGCGGACGGGUGAGUAACACGUGGGAACGUGCCCUUUGGUUCGGAACAACUCAGGGAAACUUGAGCUAAUACCGGAUGUGCCCUUCGGGGGAAAGAUUUAUCGCCAUUGGAGCGGCCCGCGUCUGAUUAGCUAGUUGGUGAGGUAAAGGCUCACCAAGGCGACGAUCAGUAGCUGGUCUGAGAGGAUGAUCAGCCACAUUGGGACUGAGACACGGCCCAAACUCCUACGGGGGGCAGCAGUGGGGAAUCUUGCGCAAUGGGCGAAAGCUUGACGCAGCCAUGCCGCGUGAAUGAUGAAGGUCUUAGGAUUGUAAAAUUCUUUCACCGGGGACGAUAAUGACGGUACCCGGAGAAGAAGCCCCGGCUAACUUCGUGCCAGCCGCCGCGGUAA
rnacentral:rRNA from 1 species